rnacentral:rRNA from 1 species
UACGGAGGGUGCAAGCGUUAUCCGGAUUCACUGGGUUUAAAGGGUGCGUAGGUGGCUUUGUAAGUCAGUGGUGAAAUCUUAGAGCUUAACUCUAAAACUGCCAUUGAUACUGCUUAGCUUGAAUCAAGUAGAGGUGGAUGGAUUAUUACAUGUAGCGGUGAAAUGCUUAGAUAUGUAAUAGAACACCGAUUGCGAAGGCAGUUCACUAUGCUUGUAUUGACACUGAGGCACGAAAGCGUGGGGAUCAAACAGG